rnacentral:tRNA from 1 species
AGGGCAGUAGUUUCAACGGCAAAACAUUUCGCUCCAAACGAAAAGUUGGGAGUUCGAUUCUCUCCUGCCCUG